rnacentral:piRNA from 1 species
UUAUUAUGUGAGAGUUUGCGA